GAUGAACGCUAGCGGCAGGCCUAAUACAUGCAAGUCGAACGGUGUAGCAAUACACAGUGGCGCACGGGUGCGUAACACGUAUGCAACCUACCUUACAUUGGGGGAUAGCCUUUCGAAAGGGAGAUUAAUACCGCAUAAGACAGUAACUAGGCAUCUAGUAGCUGUUAAAGAUUUAUCGAUGUAAGCUGGGCAUGCGUCCAAUUAGUUAGUUGGCGAGGUAAUGGCUCACCAAGACGAUGAUUGGUAGGGGAACUGAGAGGUCAAUCCCCCACACUGGCACUGAGAUACGGGCCAGACUCCUACGGGAGGCAGCAGUAGGGAAUAUUGGGCAAUGGGCGCAAGCCUGACCCAGCCAUGCCGCGUGCAGGAAGAAGGCGUUAUGCGUCGUAAACUGCUUUUAUACAGGAGGAAACGACUCUUGCGAGAGGCAUUGACGGUACUGUAUGAAUAAGCACCGGCUAACUCUGUGCCAGCCGCCGCAGUAAUAC
rnacentral:rRNA from 1 species